rnacentral:sRNA from 1 species
AAAGAAGCCGACAUUCGCAGCCGAAGUGUCUUUAGUUUAUUUUUUCUCUUCUUUCUAUAUUAGAUUUCUUCCUCGUAGUUUUAAUAUUCAAACUGAUUAUUUAGCUAAAAUACUCAGAUUUGAAAUAACAUUUUUCUCAUGUAAGCACAUCAGUUUCUGAAUGGUUUUCUCUAGCGCAUAGUCUCUUCCCGAUAUCUUAAAAAAAAA